rnacentral:rRNA from 1 species
GUGAGUAACACGUAGGUAAUCUGCCGUAGAGUGGGGGAUAACCCAUGGAAACAUGGACUAAUACCGUAUAUACUCUUGACACAUAAGUGUAGUAGAGGAAAGGAGCAAUCCGCUUUACGAUGAGCCUGCGGCCUAUUAGCCUGUUGGUGAGAUAAAAGCCCACCAAAGCUACGAUAGGUAGCCGACCUGAGAGGGUGACCGGCCACAUUGGGACUGAGAUACGGCCCAGACUCCUACGGGAGGCAGCAGCUGAGAAUCUUCCACAAUGGACGAAAGUCUGAUGGAGCGACAUCGCGUGAGGGAUGAAGGCCUUCGGGUUGUAAACCUUGGAAAUUAUCGAAGAAUGAGUGACAGUAGAUAAUGUAAGCCUCGGCUAACUACGUGCCAGCAGCCGCGGUAAUACGUAGGAGGCAAACGUUGCUCGGAUUUACUGGGCGUAAAGGGUGAGUAGGCGGAACUAUAAGUCUAAGGUGAAAUAUCGAAGCUCAACUUCGGAAACGCCUCGGAUACUGUGGUU